rnacentral:lncRNA from 1 species
AAGCCAGUGAGCUGAGUUUUCCACAAAACUUCUAACAGUAUGAGGUCUCAUUGAUAGUUCGUGUAUCAAGUCACGCGUCUGAAAUUUGGGUUCAGAAAAUUUGUAAAUUGCCACAAAUGUUUUCCCAGUCAAGAUGAAACACUUUCAAAAGAAAGUAGUUAGAACUUUACAUAACAAAAUGUGGUGCUUUAUUAUUAUUGUUGUUGUCGUUGUUAUGAUUAUUAUUAUUAUUAUUAUUAUUAUUAUUAUGUCUAACAGUGUUCGUCAUUAAAACUGCAAUACUGUACCAUAAAUGUGCGAUGACUAUUCCAGCCAUCACAAAGUCCAAAAGAGAAAGUAUUAUUUUCCUGUUAAUGACAUGUAGUCCCUUUGUUCUAGUAGAUAAAAGGUGCCUAGAGGUAGUAUAUAGAGUAAAUAUUGUUCCAUUAGUCUAUUUCCUGCAGCUUCCAUUACCUAAGGAAAUGUCCAUAAGGUUUUGUUUACAAGUCUUUGUUCUAGUCAAUAACAGGAGACGUCUUGUUACUGGGCUGAUUUUGCUUACAUCUACAAAAGAAAUGUCACAUGAUACUCAAGACCUCGCUUUCUCUUACAAUCGUACAUCUUCAAGGAAUGUCAAUAAACUCACUUUGGUAUGGC